rnacentral:rRNA from 1 species
UACGAAGGGGGCUAGCGUUGCUCGGAAUGACUGGGCGUAAAGGGCGCGUAGGCGGAUGACACAGUCAGAUGUGAAAUUCCCGGCUUAACCUGGGGCUGCAUUUGAUACGUGUUGUCUAGAGUGAGGAAGAGGGUUGUGGAAUUCCCAGUGUAGAGGUGAAAUUCGUAGAUAUUGGGAAGAACACCGGUGGCGAAGGCGGCAACCUGGUCCUGACUGACGCUGAGGCGCGAAAGCGUGGGAGCAAACAGG